rnacentral:rRNA from 1 species
UACAUGGGGUGCAAACGUUGCUCGGAAUUAUUGGGCGUAAAGCGCACGUAGGCGGUUCGUUAAGUCGGAUGUGAAAGCCCUGGGCUCAACCUAGGAAGUGCAUUCGAAACUGCGAAGCUUGAGUCCUGGAGAGGAAGGCGGAAUUCUCGGUGUAGAGGUGAAAUUCGUAGAUAUCGAGAGGAACACCGGUGGCGAAGGCGGCCUUCUGGACAGUGACUGACGCUGAGACGCGAAAGCGUGGGGAGCAAACAGG